rnacentral:lncRNA from 1 species
AGAAAGUUUUGAAAAUCAAAAGCAUGAGGCUUAGGUUUCUAAUGUUUGAAAACAAUGGUUAAAUGUUUGCACAAAGAGUUUUGGCUUGGGUUAGAAUGGAGAGAAGAAGAAGAAUGACUAAGUCCUAAGUAAAGCAAAAAGAAGAGGGGGUAAAGAAACAAAACCACAAUGGAGUUCCUCUCUUGAGAUCAUAUUGAUGAUCCAAGUAGCUCCCAUCCUUUGGAAUAUGCAAGCGAAAUAAUAGUAAGCUCAAGCAACCAAACAAGCCUCUUAAGAGAUCCCCAAUGUAUCUUGUGUCUUUCACUUUGGAUGAGCAUGGCAAUGGUCCUUCAAUUAAGCUCAAGUAGAAUUCCCUAGCACAAAAG